UUGGGACAAUCUAACACCUAGACAUGUGCUUGGGUGGUCUUUUGACCAAAAUUUCAAAUUGGAGGUCGUGGGUUCAAUUGUUUGGAGUACCAUAUUUUUUGGAAUUAAUUAAAGAAAAGUACAUGUCAGCGCUGCCACGUGUGCCACGUAGGCAGGUCAACGCACAUGUAGCACCUAGGGGCUCGAUAUCCAAAUUUUUGAAGAGAAAUUUGAAGGUCAACGCACAUGUAGCACCUAUGUAGCAGCUAUAUAUCCCCAUCAUUUCUCCCCGGCUAGGAAAAAUUCAGCUCUGUCAAAAUGAAAUUUUCGUAACGCUCCAACAAUGUAGGAUCAAUGCGAUGAAACUCCUCCCUACCAAUCCACAUGCAAUCAAAGUCAGGCUUGCCACACCACUGAACAAAAAAUUGGCAAUAUAUUCCGCACCUAGUAGACACAAACCUCUAAUCCAAUACAUCCUCGAUACCAUUUGAUGUAGACUGUGAAGAAACAAGAAAAGGUGCUGACGAAACAGGUAAAGGAGGAACUAAUGGGUUAGUAGAUGAAAAAGGAGAUGGGGUCGACGGACUAGAAGGUACAUGAUAUGGAGUAAGAUCAGCCACAUUAAAUACAGGACCAAUACCCAUAUUACUAGGAAGAUCUAACUCAUACGCAUUAACACUAACCUUCUUUUUCACACGAAAUUGUCCCAUCCGCUUAGCAUGCACCUUUUUCCAUGUGCAUGGAGGCAAUCUCUCAACAUGGUGUCGAAGCAUACCUGGUCAUUCUCAUUGAACUAUUGGUACCUGCGAUGACCAUCUGCAGCAGACUAAAAAUUUUCAUUGCUCAAAUUAAUUUUAUGUCAUGUCUCAACAUGCAAGUCAUGAAUGUGUCAUGCAAAAAUUUAAACACACUCACUAGCUUUAUAUGUAGAGGGAAGAAGGACCAAGUCGAAAGGUUUUCUAGGGUGGUAACUAGUAUAAAUCAGAAAAGGACUCGCCCCAGUAGAGCGAUUAACCAAACUAUUAUAGGCAAACUCAGGCAUAGGUAAAACUCUAUCCAAAUAGACACGUGAUCUCCUAUAAGGCAUCUCACCAAAUCACCUAGACUCCUAUUAACUACCUCGAAUUGACCAACAGUCUGCUAGUGAUAGGAAGUGAAAAACUUAAGUGUGGUAUUUAGCUUUUUCGAUAGGGUUUUCUAAAAAUAACUCAUGAAUUUGACAUCCCUAUCAAAAACUAUAGACAAAGGCAAACCACGUAGCCUCACAACCUCGCUAAAGAAAAUUGAUGCAAUGUGUGAGCAUCAUCGGUUUUGCUGCAUGGAAUAAAAUACGUCAUCUUAGAAAAAUGGUCCAAUACAACAAAAACGAAAUCAUGACCCCUCAGGGUUCGCGAUAACCCAAGACCAAAUCCAUGCUAAUAUCCUCCCAAGGAGCAUGGAGUACCGGCAAAGGCAUAUACAACCCUAUGUUUUGCGUCCUACCCUUAGCAGUUUGACAUGUACGACACUCAGAAACAACACGAGGUACAUCCUUCUCGAGGCUAGGCCAAAAAAACCUAUCCUCCACAAUUGCAAUGGUCUUAUCGCGACCAAAAUGACAUGCGAUCCCUCCCGCAUGUAACUCUCAAACUAAAUGCUCAGGCAUAGACGUGCUAGGAAUACACAUCAUGAAUACGAAAGUGGGUGCCCUUUUUAAGAUUUCUAUUUCGAUACUUAUAUUAAUGGGUGAGAUUUUGGGAAAAACACAGACAUAAAUGCUGACGAAUUUGAAAAGCUUGAUUUUUAAUGAUGGCCUAAUUAGACAGUCGCCAGUUGGUACAAGUUUAAAUGGAUGUACCAACUCAUCCGGUUUUCGAAGUUUUCGUAAUUUGGCCCAAUAUGUAACUCCGUAAAAUUAGUCUUGAAACCGAGAUUCAUAGAGUUCGAGAGCUUGCUUAAAGCGAGAGCAAGGUGUUUGGGCCUGGAGUGAUGAAGAUAAAGAACUAAAUCAUACAAUAAAAAGGGCUAGGGUUAGGGCCUGGAGUGAUGAAGAUAAAGAACUUUAAUCCAUCAUCUAUAAGGAUAUAAACUUAAAAAGAUAAUGCAAACAGUAACUGUCCAAAAUUAUUGAAGGAGAUAAUCAAUUGUAACAAGUUUAGGUUUCAAUCAGUCAAAUUACUAUUAAUACCAUCAGCACAGCACGGGGAAAAACACAAUACUGUUUCAUCCGAUGUAAAACGUUGGUCAAACUAAAGAAAGCAGAAUGAAUUAUUGAUGCAACUUUACUUCCAUUCACAAAAAUUCUUCAUAAAAAAAAGUUAGGUUUAGUGAAGAUACUUAAUAAGUUAACAUACUUGAAGCAUAUGAAUAAGAAAGAAAGUGAAGUUAGAUAGACCUGAAGCUUGAGUAUUAAUGAUAAGAAUAAUAUGUCCUUUAACCAAGUAUCCAAUAGCAAAUACAAAGAUCACAUAUCAAAAUAUAACAUCUGAUAUUACAAUUUCAUUCAUUCAAAAUUUCCAGAGUACAUAACCUUUAUUCAACUAUAAUUGCAGAACAAUGGUAAUGGACAAAAAAAUUGAAGAACCAAAAGAGAAACAAUAUUAUAGUAACUAAUUAAAAAAACAUCAAGGUCUAAAAUCAACAACCGUACAAUUAGACAAAUAACGUUUACUAUUCUGGCAAAAAAAAUCCUAACACUACUUUAAAAUAGCAGUAAAGUCGUAUGAUGAAAUAGUAGAUUAAAUAUGUUACACAUGAUUAUAUAAUUCCUCCCUAGAAACUGAUUAAUAUUUCUCAAUUUGUCAUUAUAAUGUCAUUAUGGUCCCAUAUUCCUAAAAUUAUACUCAAUAUUCACAAAUUUUACUAAUAAAACUCUAUUUGUUGGAUGGAGGAGAUAUUACUGAGAAAUGAAAGAAAUGAAAGAACUGAAAGAAGCAUGUAAUACCUUCAGAAAAAAAAAUCAGAAGCUAUGGCAGACCAUCGGAGACGAAUCACAAGCCGGAAGAACGAAACCCCUCACACACUCGCCCUAUAGGUGCAGUGCUGGCCUUUCAAUUACCAAGGCGGCUUAGGUGGGGUUUAUUUUAAGAGAGAAAAAGAUAUGAAGGUAAAGAAGAGUUAGGAACUUCGGGUAGAAUAAGAAGGAAAAGGAUGAAGGGGAGGACAGAGGAGGCGGCGAGAGAAUGGGGGAUGAGAGAAGUAGGGUUUAAUAUGUUUUGUUAUUGUAUUGCAUUUUUUUUGUAAUUAUUUUAUGAAUAUAUUAAUUUUGUAAUUAUUUUU
rnacentral:lncRNA from 1 species